CAAAAGCGUAUAUUAAAGUUGUUGCAGUUAAAAAGCUCGUAGUUGAACCUUGGGCUUGGCUGGCCGGUCCAUCUUUUUUGAUGCGUACUGGACCCAGCCGAGCCUUUCCUUCUGGCUAGCCUUUUGGCGAACCAGGACUUUUACUUUGAAAAAAUUAGAGUGUUCAAAGCAGGCCUUUGCUCGAAUAUAUUAGCAUGGAAUAAUAGAAUAGGACGUUAUGGUUCUAUUUUGUUGGUUUCUAGGACCAUCGUAAUGAUUAAUAGGGACGGUCGGGGGUAUCAGUAUUCAGUUGUCAGAGGUGAAAUUCUUGGAUUUACUGAAGACUAACUACUGCGAAAGCAUUCACCAAGGACGUUUUCAUUAA
rnacentral:rRNA from 1 species